rnacentral:lncRNA from 1 species
ACCAGAAGGCUAUAAAAGGCAAAGAAACAAAUAUGCCUACGAAUAAACCUCCUAUCCUUCUAUAAGAAUGAGAAAGCCAGCAUUUGAUUUCUCGAAAAUAUCAAUUAACAACAAGAAAAAUGAUCCGUCUUUAGUCAAACAUAUCCUAUUUCUUACAAGAUAUAGACUAUUGAUACCAAGCUAUGUCAUGUAGACGGGACUACGGGAAGAGAGCUCGGCUAUUUUUCCUCAACGCUUCUUUUUCUCCACGCUCAUUCUGCAUUGCGUCCUGUGCCUUUGGCACUUUGCUGCGUCAUAUUCAUCAUUGGACAGUACAAUAUGGACUUCGCUGGAAAGGACAGAUGUUAACCCCCUUACAUGGUCUUACGACUUUCAGGAGACCUGUAUUUUUGGUAAGCAGUAGCCAUGACAUGGUCGAUUGUAGCCCAAGAGUUCUUACAUAUGUCCAGGCAAACACACCCAAAAGCUCAAUCCUUUGAUUUUGCUCCCAACGCAUUCGUUCUCUACCUUUAUCUUCGCUUUUUCUCAUCUCCCUUCCGCCUUCUUCACCUACAGCAAAAAUCAUCUGUCCGUUUCGUUCCUUCUUUUAAAAAAAUUCACUGGUAAGUUUAUUCGUAUACCCUUUUGAUAUUGGUCUAUGCUUCAUUUUUGUUUCUCUCUAUUGUACUGUUAACUGUAUAAGAAUCAUCCAUCUUAGUUAUCUGUUCCUGGACUGUAAGUUAACAUUUAAUUGAAGAAGCUAAUUUUAGAGCUAGACUCAUUGUAAUGAUGCUAUGAACUAUAUAGUUCUUCGUUCUUUUCGGUUUAUUUGUCUUACUUUCUAUUUUAGUCCGUUUCCCAAAGAAUUUAUGUUUUCUUUUUUGGCAAUUUUUUUAAUUUCUACUUUCCACAUCACAUGUUUAAGACGAUAGAGAUUCAAAUGUCUUAUUAAUUUUCUUUGAUUCUGUGUCAAACAAGACAAGUAAAUUGGAAAGGAGGAAGUAAAUCUUUUUGUGCUGAAGAAUAUGAUUUCAUUGUGAAUAUAUAGAUGUUUCACUAACAAGAGCUUAUUUUUUCCACAGAAGGGUAACAUUUUAUCCAAGAAUCUAUUUUGUUAUUGCCUAACUAUUCUGGAAUUGAGCCUUAGCAGUUAUUGUAUCUGGCCAGUGGAUAGAGGUUGCAAUUUCAAUUUCAUCCGCUAUUUGUUAACCUCAUUUUCAGUUUUCUAUGUAUCUUGGCGGAGAAGAACGUUUUGUGAGCAAACUAUCUGCUUUGAAUUUGUUGAGUUGUCUAUAGAGACAACAACAACAGCAUGUCCACAGUAGUCACACAAGUAGGAUCUGGGAGGGUAGGAUGUGAACAAAAUUUGCCCCUACUUUUGUGGGGGUAGAGAGGUUGUUUCUGGUAGACCCUCGGCUCAAAAUAAGUAAUCGAAG